UAAGAUAGAGGUGCGGCUUCGAUAAGUACCGUCGGCGGCAAUUUUUCAGCAAAUUGCCGGCGGGAAAGGCAAAUCCGCCGAAGAGUAUGCAGGCUGUAAUGCAUAUAUCUGGUUGUGCGCUGAAUAAGCGUAUGAUUGUCAUCACAAUCCGUUAACGGACGAUGGAGAGCUAUCGG
rnacentral:ncRNA from 1 species